CCAAGGCUACGAUCAGUAGCUGGUCUGAGAGGACGACCAGCCACACUGGAACUGAGACACGGUCCAGACUCCUACGGGAGGCAGCAGUGGGGAAUUUUGGACAAUGGGCGCAAGCCUGAUCCAGCAAUGCCGCGUGAGUGAAGAAGGCCUUCGGGUUGUAAAGCUCUUUUGUCAGGGAAGAAACGGUGGGGGCUAAUAUCCUCCACUAAUGACGGUACCUGAAGAAUAAGCACCGGCUAACUACGUGCCAGCAGCCGCGGUAAUACGUAGGGUGCAAGCGUUAAUCGGAAUUACUGGGCGUAAAGCGUGCGCAGGCGGUUUUGUAAGUCUGUCGUGAAAGCCCCGGGCUCAACCUGGGAAUUGCGAUGGAGACUGCAAGGCUUGAAUCUGGCAGAGGGGGGUAGAAUUCCACGUGUAGCAGUGAAAU
rnacentral:rRNA from 1 species